rnacentral:rRNA from 1 species
AGCUCCAAUAGCGUAUAUUAAAGUUGUUGUGGUUAAAAAGCUCGUAGUUGGAUCUCAACGACCUUGGAGCGGUUGACUGAAUGUUCUACUGCUCUGUAGGUCGUGCUUUUGCUGGAGGUUUAGAGGUGCUCUUGAUCGAGUGUCUCUGAGCGCCAGCAGGUUUACUUUGAAAAAAUUAGAGUGCUCAAAGCAGGCUAUUCCGCCUGAAUAUUCGUGCAUGGAAUAAUAGAAUAGGAUGUCGAUCCUAUUUUGUUGGUUUUCGGGACUCGACAUAAUGAUUAAUAGGGACAGUCGGGGGCAUUUGUAUUCAAACGACAGAGGUGAAAUUCUUGGACCGUUUGAAGACAAACUACUGCGAAAGCAUUUGCCAAGAAUGUUUUCAUUAAUCAAGAACGAAAGU